rnacentral:rRNA from 1 species
GGGUCAGUAGGUUGGUCGUGCCACCGGUACGUACUGGUCUCACUGAUUCCUCCUUCCUGAAGAACCGUAAUGCCAUUAAUUUGGUGUUGCGGGGAAACAGGGCUGUUACUUUGAAAAAAUUAGAGUGUUUAAAGCAAGCUAACGCUUGAAUACAUUAGCAUGGAAUAAUGAAAUAGGACGAUCGAUCCUAUUUUGUCGGUUUCUAGGAUUGACGUA